rnacentral:rRNA from 1 species
AAAGAAAAUAACAAUGAUUCCCCUAGUAACUGCGAGUGAAGAGGGACAAGCUCAAAUUUUAAAUCCAUCGGGCUUUACCCGAUCGAGUUGUAAUUUGAAGAGGCGUUUUCUGUGUUUCUGAUCAGUCCAAGUCCUUUGGGAUAAGGCAUCAUGGAGGGUGAGAAUCCCGUCCGGUUGAUCAGAUUCGCUUUACGAUACGCUUUCUAAGAGUCAAGUUGUUUGGGAUUGCAGCUUAAAAUGGGAGGUAAAUUUCUCCUAAGGCUAAAUAACGGCGAGAGACCGAUAGCGAACAAGUACCGUGAGGGAAAGAUGAAAAGAACUUUGAAAAGAGAGUUAAAUAGUACGUGAAAUUGUUGAAAGGGAAACGAUUGAAGCCAGUCGUACCUUCGGGUAAUCAGCCUUUUGGGUAUGAUUUUGUGGAACGUGAGGAGUUAAACGCCUUCAUGCCUGCAUAUUCGUGCACUUUGGGUGUACUUGCCCGUAUGGUUGGUUAACAUCAAUUUUGAUGGUCAUAAAAUGACUGGAGGAAUGUAGCUUCGAUCUCGUAUUGAAGUGUUAUAGCCUUCGGUAGAUGUGAUGAUCGAGAUUGAAGAUUGCAACGGAUACCCUUCGGGGCUACCUGUCUGAUCUCUGAUCGUUGCUCUGGUGCCGAAAGCUUGCUUACGGUUAUCAAAGUCGAUGGUCAAUAGGUUAGAACGGGUUAAAUU